rnacentral:rRNA from 1 species
UGCUGAACAACAAAUGCCCUGCUUCCAGGAAAAGCCUCUAAGCAUCAGGUAACAUCAAAUCGUACCCCAAACCGACACAGGUGGUCAGGUAGAGAAUACCAAGGCGCUUGAGAGAACUCGGGUGAAGGAACUAGGCAAAAUGGUGCCGUAACUUCGGGAGAAGGCACGCUGACACGUAGGUGAAGUGAUUUACUCAUGGAGCUGAAGUCAGUCGAAGAUACCAGCUGGCUGCAACUGUUUAUUAAAAACACAGCACUGUGCAAACACGAAAGUGGACGUAUACGGUGUGACGCCUGCCCGGUGCCGGAAGGUUAAUUGAUGGGGUCAGCGCAAGCGAAGCUCCUGAUCGAAGCCCCGGUAAACGGCGGCCGUAACUAUAACGGUCCUAAGGUAGCGAAAUUCCUUGUCGGGUAAGUUCCGACCUGCACGAAUGGCGUAAUGAUGGCCAGGCUGUCUCCACCCGAGACUCAGUGAAAUUGAACUCGCUGUGAAGAUGCAGUGUACCCGCGGCAAGACGGAAAGACCCCGUGAACCUUUACUAUAGCUUGACACUGAACAUUGAGCCUUGAUGUGUAGGAUAGGUGGGAGGCUUUGAAGCGUGGACGCCAGUCUGCAUGGAGCCGGCCUUGAAAUACCACCCUUUAAUGUUUGAUGUUCUAACGUGGACCCGUGAUCCGGGUUGCGGACAGUGUCUGGUGGGUAGUUUGACUGGGGCGGUCUCCUCCUAAAGAGUAACGGAGGAGCACGAAGGUUGGCUAAUCCUGGUCGGACAUCAGGAGGUUAGUGCAAUGGCAUAAGCCAGCUUGACUGCGAGCGUGACGGCGCGAGCAGGUGCGAAAGCAGGUCAUAGUGAUCCGGUGGUUCUGAAUGGAAGGGCCAUCGCUCAACGGAUAAAAGGUACUCCGGGGAUAACAGGCUGAUACCGCCCAAGAGUUCAUAUCGACGGCGGUGUUUGGCACCUCGAUGUCGGCUCAUCACAUCCUGGGGCUGAAGUAGGUCCCAAGGGUAUGGCUGUUCGCCAUUUAAAGUGGUACGCGAGCUGGGUUUAGAACGUCGUGAGACAGUUCGGUCCCUAUCUGCCGUGGGCGCUGGAGAACUGAGGGGGGCUGCUCCUAGUACGAGAGGACCGGAGUGGACGCAUCACUGGUGUUCGGGUUGUCAUGCCAAUGGCACUGCCCGGUAGCUAAAUGCGGAAGAGAUAAGUGCUGAAAGCAUCUAAGCACGAAACUUGCCCCGAGAUGAGUUCUCCCUGAGACUUAGAGUCUCCUGAAGGAACGUUGAAGACGACGACGUUGAUAGGCCGGGUGUGUAAGCGCAGCGAUGCGUUGAGCUAACCGGUACUAAUGAACCGUGAGGCUUAACC